UCACCGCUCUUUUAAAGGAAUAUUGGAAACAAGGGAUGGCAAACGCGUCUUCGUUGAGUUCACACAUGUUGCUCGCAAGUAUGCAAGCGACAUAUCAAACAAAUAUAUACAGAGGGGGGUAUCUGAAAUGGAGAAAUUGCAUUGGGCGAGUAAAGUACUUCCAUAUCUUAAGCAUGACAUGAUUUUCUUAGCCUUGAACCGUGGACUACACUGGUACGUAGCAGUAAUAAUUCCAGAGGAAAGAGAUAUCCAGAUUCUCAACUCAAUUCCAUCUAUGGAACCAGGCGAUGAACUCCAACACACGCUAGAAGGUAUAGCUGCGUAUUUAAGGAUGGCAGAAGAAACUCU